GCGGCGGACGGGUGAGUAACGCGUGGGAAUCUACCUGGUAGUGGGGGACAACAGUCGGAAACGACUGCUAAUACCGCAUACGCCCUUCGGGGGAAAGUGGGGGAUCUUCGGACCUUACGCUAUCAGAUGAGCCCGCGUCGGAUUAGCUUGUUGGUGAGGUAAGAGCUCACCAAGGCGAUGAUCCGUAGCUGGUCUGAGAGGAUGACCAGCCACACUGGGACUGAGACACGGCCCAGACUCCUACGGGAGGCAGCAGUGGGGAAUAUUGGMCAAUGGGGGCAACCCUGAUCCAGCCAUGCCGCGUGUGUGAAGAAGGCCUUCGGGUUGUAAAGCACUUUCAGCAGUGAGGAAAGGCGUAAGGUUAAUACCCUUGUGCUGUGACGUUAACUGCAGAAGAAGGACCGGCUAACUCCGUGCCAGCAGCCGCGGUAAUACGGAGGGUCCGAGCGUUAAUCGGAAUUACUGGGCGUAAAGCGCGCGUAGGUGGUUCAGUCAGUCAGAUGUGAAAGCCCCGGGCUCAACCUGGGAACUGCACCUGAUACUGCUGAGCUAGAGUACGGUAGAGGGUAGUGGAAUUUCCGGUGUAGCGGUGAAAUGCGUAGAGAUCGGAAGGAACACCAGUGGCGAAGGCGACUACCUGGACCGAUACUGACACUGAGGUGCGAAAGCGUGGGUAGCAAACAGGAUUAGAUACCCUGGUAGUCCACCGCCGUAAACGAUGUCAACUAGCCGUUGGGGGACUUGAUCCUUUAGUGGCGAAGCUAACGCGAUAAGUUGACCGCCUGGGGAGUACGGCCGCAAGGUUAAAACUCAAAUGAAUUGACGGGGGCCCGCACAAGCGGUGGAGCAUGUGGUUUAAUUCGAAGCAACGCGAAGAACCUUACCUACUCUUGACAUCCAGAGAACUUUCCAGAGAUGGAUUGGUGCCUUCGGGAACUCUGAGACAGGUGCUGCAUGGCUGUCGUCAGCUCGUGUUGUGAAAUGUUGGGUUAAGUCCCGUAACGAGCGCAACCCCUAUCCUUAUUUGCCAGCGCGUAAUGGCGGGAACUCUAAGGAGACUGCCGGUGACAAACCGGAGGAAGGUGGGGAUGACGUCAAGUCAUCAUGGCCCUUACGAGUAGGGCUACACACGUGCUACAAUGGCCGGUACAGAGGGCUGCAAACCUGCGAAGGCAAGCUAAUCUCAGAAAACCGGUCGUAGUCCGGAUCGCAGUCUGCAACUCGACUGCGUGAAGUCGGAAUCGCUAGUAAUCGCGAAUCAGAAUGUCGCGGUGAAUACGUUCCCGGGCCUUGUACACACCGCCCGUCACACCAUGGGAGUGGGUUGCACCAGAAGUAGCUAGUCUAACCUUCGGGAGGACGGUUACCACGGUG
rnacentral:rRNA from 1 species